rnacentral:rRNA from 1 species
UACGUAGGGACCAAGCGUUGUUCGGAUUUACUGGGCGUAAAGGGCGCGUAGGCGGCGUGGUAAGUCACUUGUGAAAUCUCUGAGCUUAACUCAGAACGGUCAAGUGAUACUGCUGUGCUAGAGUGCGGAAGGGGCAAUCGGAAUUCUUGGUGUAGCGGUGAAAUGCGUAGAUAUCAAGAGGAACACCUGAGGUGAAGACGGGUUGCUGGGCCGACACUGACGCUGGAUGCGCGAAAGCGUGGGGAGCAAACAGG